UUUGGUAUUAAAUCCACUGUGGUUUAUUAUACUUACUGAUGUUCAGAUUUUGAUCUUUUUUUUUUUUUUUGCCAGUAAGAACCUCUUCAAUUUGGCUUGUUGUUUAGUCGCUAAGUCAUGUCCAACUCUUAUGUGAUGCCAUGUACUAUAGACCACUAGACUCCUCUGUCCAUGGGAUUCUCCAGGCAAGAUUACUGGAGUGGGUUGCCAUUUCCUUCUCCAGGGGAUCUUCCUGACCCAGAGAUUAAGCCUGCAUCUCCUGCAUUGCAGCCAGAUUCCUGACCACUCAGCCAUCAGGAGGCCCCUCAAUUUGCUACGAUUUAUUAUGAUAAAAGGAUGCAAAGCAAAAUCGGCAAAGAGAAGAGGUACAUGGGACAGAGACCAGAGGAAACCAGGUGUUGGCUUUCAAGACUUAAUUCCAUUGGAGUCACUGAACCCAUUAAAAUUUCUCCAGCCACAAAUUGAGACAACAGGUAUUGGUCAUCUACAAUGAAUUCUUCAGCACUCUGUUCUGCUAAAGAGCUGAGAAGACUUUAAAUACCUAAGAUCAUCAAUACACAAGGCUCACUUGAAAACCAUAUAUUAAAAAAGAUGUAAG
ensembl:lncRNA